GGAGAGGCAACCCGGCUCAGCUCCUCCUCGGUCCCCGCGCCAGCUUGGCGAUUCACCGCCGAAGGAGCAGGGCGCUUCUACCGCUUCCACCGAAGCAGGAAGGACGGAAGGGGAAGCCAGACAGAAAGGGAGCUGGCUGCCAAUAUAAAGUCUGUCUUCCGCUCUGCCCGCCUAUACGAAAUGCUCCCAGAGACAAUGUGAGAAGGCCUGCAAUUUUCUGUGCUUCUGGCAAUGGAAAGGAGAAGUAGAUAAGGAAAGAUCCCCCUCCAGAUGAUGAAUGCUACCCGAGCUCAUAUCGGUGAAGGGAACCUGUGCUAUUCGGUCGAAUGCAACCGCCCUUGCAAGACGUGGCUUGUCAGCGCUACUCAUCGAAGUGUAAACCCAUCUCUGAAGACCUGGCAGGCAGAAGUACUCUCCCCACCCCAACCCCACCCACGGACUUUGCAGCAUCAGUCCAUUUGUACACUCGGAUCUCUAAGGAAAACAGCAUCAUCGACGUGAAUGACAGCUGCAGCGGGAGCCGGGGAGCGGGCGGUCAGAUGCUCCGCCGGGGCUGUCCACUCCGCGGGCACUGAAAACUUCAGGGAAGGUCUCUCUUGGAGCCAACGCGGACUUGACAAAACAGUUGACAAUUAGGGCAAAGCACGUACGGCAGAAUCAUUAGAACCCACAGAAGCCCCGGCCCCAGCGGCGACACCGCGGCGUGGCGAUGCCCCCGUGGCUUCGGAAAUACCCGCUAUCCCUUUAAAAAGUACCCCCCGCAGGCCGGAAGUGACCGCUCGGCGCCACGAGUCGAGCCCCUCGGUGCAGCACGGCCUCGAGCCUCGCGCACGUCCGCGGUCCCGUGGGUUUCCUGCUCUUGCUGCAGUUCUCCGCCGCCAGUCCUCUCCGCGCGGGCAGUUCGGUCACUAAAUCUCAGAGACCCGGCGCCUCCCCCAAGCUCCAGCCUACGCCAGGCCUGCUUCCGGGUUCGGCCUGCGCUCCCGGCCCGCUCUAGUGACGCACUUCCGGUGGUGACCAGGCUUGGCUCCGCCCCAAGCUGACACGCGGGCUGAUCGGGUUCCCAGCCGUGCACUGUGCUGGGAGGACAGCGAAUUCCUGCACCGGGGACCAACUGCUCCGCCACGGCUCGGUCUCUGGGGUUUCUUACCGUCCUGGGCGGAAAUGGAUAGAAUCCGCCAGACCACACGACCCGGGGCCUAACUCUCCAGCCCUGUGACCGCGGCCGUCUGUGUCAAGCUCUCCCUUGGCUCUGCCCAGGGCCCUUGUCGCUUGGCGCUGGGACCUUCAGAAGUUGAAAGGGUUUGCCAGAGGCAUCUCAACCACCCUUUCUUAGACUGGCUUUGAAAUGGUGUCACCCACCCUCUUGGACUGAAUAUCUCAGGUCAUCUUAGGGUUUCCUCCCGGAAUUACUUAGUUUUACACAUUCUGGUUCAUCCUCUUCUCAAAGGUUGUUUUUUGGAUCGAGAAGUUCAGGCAGAAAGCGUUCACUUUCAGUUUUUCCUUGUAUCUCUCACGAUGCUGUAUGACUUGACCUCAUAAUCUGGUGUCUGGUUAAGUAUAAAACUAUUCUUUACUUCUCACCCCUCCACAGGGCUGUUUGGAUUGUUUCUUUUGUAAUAACGUAUUAUACCGUUUAGAAAACACAGGAAACACAGCUUGGGCGAGUUGGGUGUUUCCUGCUGAAAAUUGUGAAUAUAACGUUUCAUG
ensembl:lincRNA A930029G22Rik RIKEN cDNA A930029G22 gene